CAAAGAUUUUCUUUCUUGGGAGAAAUAUUGGAAGUUGGUUUUUAAGUGAAAAAACUUAAAUUUUAUUUUGGGACAAGAAGACCCUAUGAAUUUUUAUUAAAGUUAAGUUUGUUAAAGGCUUGUUUUAAUUUAGUUGGGGUGAUUUUUAAAGAUUGGGUAUCUUUAAAUUUAAAAAUUGAUCCAUUUUUAAUGAUUAUUUGAAAAAAAUACUCUAGGGAUAACAGCGUAAUUAUUUUGGAUAGUUCAUAUUGAUAAAAUUGUUUGCGACCUCGA
rnacentral:rRNA from 1 species